rnacentral:lncRNA from 10 species
CCUGGGCAACAGAAUGAGGCUCCAUCUCAAAAAAACGACAGACAAACAAAAAACAGUGCUGUUGAGUGUGCAUUGAGACAGGCAUUUUCCAACACUGCCUUUCUGGAAGCAGGGAGGAGAGGCACAGAAAUUUCAGCAAGGGUAAAGUCUUCAUCCUGCAACCAUAUUUCUAGGAGUCUAGAUAAUUCGAUAUACAGGUAAAGUCACAGCAUUUAUUUAAUCAUGUUAAUUAGUUAUGUAACAUAUAAUAAAAUAAUAUUGUAUGUUAAUACAUAAUAUAAAUAUAUUAUGCUAAUACAUUGAUAUAUACACACUUAGUCCUUCUAUCUGUUACUAAAGGGAGCUCACGUGGCACCAACAAGGAAACACACACUUAGUCCUUCUAUCUGUUACUAAAGCGAGCUCACGUGACAUCAACAAGGAAACACACUUAGUCCUUCUAUCUGUUACUAAAGGGAGUUCACGUGACAUCAGCAAGGAAACACAGUCUUAUCUGUUACUAAAGCGAGCUCACGCGACAUCAACAAGGAAACACAGUUAGUCCUUCUAUCUGUUACUAAAGGGAGCUCACGAGACAUCAACAAGGAAACACAGUUAGUCCUUCUAUCUGUUACUAAAGGGAGCUCACGUGACAUCAACAAGGAAACACACUUAGUCCUUCCAUCUGUUACUACAGGGAGCUCACGUGACAUCAGCAAGGAAACACAGUCCUUCUAUCUGUUACUAAAGGGAGCUCACGUGACAUCAGCAAGGAAACACAGUCCU